rnacentral:rRNA from 1 species
CGUUAAGUAGACCGCCUGGGGAGUACGGCCGCAAGGUUAAAACUCAAAUGAAUUGACGGGGGCCCGCACAAGCGGUGGAGCAUGUGGUUUAAUUCGAUGCAACGCGAAGAACCUUACCUGGUCUUGACAUCCACAGAAGAAUCCAGAGAUGGAUUUGUGCCUUCGGGAACUGUGAGACAGGUGCUGCAUGGCUGUCGUCAGCUCGUGUUGUGAAAUGUUGGGUUAAGUCCCGCAACGAGCGCAACCCUUAUCCUUUGUUGCCAGCGGUCCGGCCGGGAACUCAAAGGAGACUGCCAGUGAUAAACUGGAGGAAGGUGGGGAUGACGUCAAGUCAUCAUGGCCCUUACGACCAGGGCUACACACGUGCUACAAUGGCGCAUACAAAGAGAAGCGACCUCGCGAGAGCAAGCGGACCUCAUAAAGUGCGUCGUAGUCCGGAUUGGAGUCUGCAACUCGACUCCAUGAAGUCGGAAUCGCUAGUAAUCGUGGAUCAGAAUGCCACGGUGAAUACGUUCCCGGGCCUUGUACACACCGCCCGUCACACCAUGGGAGUGGGUUGCAAAAGAAGUAGGUAGCUUAACCUUCGGGAGGGCGCUUACCACUUUGUGAUUCAUGACUGGGGUGAAGUCGUAACAAGGUAACCGUAGGGGAACCUGC